AAUUCGUUGCCAGCUCUUUUAGGAAUCAAUUUGGAUCGAUUUAAUCAAUUCGUUGUUGCAGCACUAGUUUCAACGCUUUGUGACAAGUU